AAGAUACUAGUAAAGUAAUUAAUAUACUGCUUUGUCAAGGCAGAGGCGUGGGUUAGAGCCCCACGUAUCUUA
rnacentral:tRNA from 1 species